GAAUUUGAAUGAGGACAGUAUCUUUCGGCGCCAUUUUCGAGUGAGCUGCGAUCGUUGGAGCAGCUGCUGUGUUUUUCAGCAGGAUGCUGCGGACGUAAAGAGACGGAGAAACAGCCACCACCAUCGCUUCUCUUCCCUUCUUGGAUGGACGAUAAAAUAGUUUCUUUGACGGGGCGAGGGGAGAAGAUGUGGAGUACAGAAGGAGAGAGAGGCUGACACAUGUGACGAGACGACCCAAGCGCAUCCACCAGAUAAAUGACUGUUGUGGCAGUGCCGUAGCAGCACGGAAUGGUUUGUGGGUUACACUGAGAUGCAGGCCAUACCGUGCUGCCACAGUGAAGCCCGACCCGCUCUUCCCGACGCCAGCCCGCCCGUCGCUCCACGCCCUCACUUGUAGCGUAUCGGCACAGGUCACUUGACUGUAGCAGCACGUAAAUAUUGGAGUGGACUCUCUCAGCCGAAGCCUCCAGUAUUGAUCGUGCUGCUGAAGCAAAGAUGACCACUCGCUCACAAACGCAUCCACCAGAGUAAACCCUGUUGUAAAAAACUGAUUCAUGUUUCCAUGAAUAAACAUGCUGGAUAAAUAA